rnacentral:lncRNA from 1 species
GGGUGAGGAGGAAUAUACCUGGAUGACAAGUAAUAUCCAAGAAACUGACAUUACAUACUCCGCAAAUAAAGCUUCAGUUGUAAAAAAAUUAUUCCUAGUACGAUGAUAAAUACAUUAAAUAGAAUAAUCAAAGGGGUGCAAGUCAUAAUUCAUGGAAUCAUUUGCAGACAGUUACAAAUUGGGGCAUUGAUGUUGUAAUAUUAAGGGGAAAAUGAAAACAAUUGCGGGGAUGUCAAAAGGUGGCACUAAACAAUUGCAAAUUAGUAUUAGUUUAGUUACUCAGACUAUAAGUACAACAAUUAGGAUUGGCAAAUCUCCUGGACGGUUUCAAAAGGGUGGUAAAAAAACAAAAUUCUUGGUACAUUUCCAUUCAAAAUUCGGAGCUUAAGAGCUUAUCAUCAGAAUUCUCUUCCAACAUAAAAGGGGACAGCAUACACAACAGAAAAAGAGAGGAAUACAUACAGAGAAAAGGGAGAGAAAAAUGAAAGACCAAUUCUUCUCUCAAAAUUCCAACACUACAACAUCUCCAUAGUCCAAAUUUCUUCAUCAACCUCACUACACAUGUCAUCCUUUCUUUAUCCUAUCAUCCCUAAAAAAAUUCAGCAUAUCAAAUCCACAUAUACUAUCUAUCACACACACAUAUACAUAAUUCCACUAGAACUCAUUCAUAUCAUAGCAAACAACACAUGCAAUUGUUGACACACUUAUCACAAAGGAGUAUCAUAAGACAUACACAUAGAACAGAGGGUAACACAUUAUACAUAGACACAAGCUAUUACACACACCAGAGGAGAGAUUCAAAGAAAAGGACGCAUGACCAAAACAAAAAAAAACAUUCUAAAAUAUAGGUUCAUCAUUUUCCUUACUCAGUCAUACUGAUUUCAUUUUGUGUAUCCUUAUCCUUAUAAGUGUUGGGGUUGAAGUGGUCAUAGAUCAGUUUCUUUUAUCAGUUAAUAAUUCCUAUUAUCUAGGACACGUAGGUAGUGUUGGUAGUUAUCUUUAGAUAGGUACUUAUCAUGUAUACAUGGGUAGUUUUUUUUUCCAGUUUCUUUCUUUGUUGGCUUUUCAAUUCUGCACUGAUGUAAGGCUUAUUUAAGCCAUCUGCUCUAUUAAAUAAUAUGCAAUGGUUUAUAACAAUCCCUAUCCUUAUAAGUUUAUUAUUAUAUAACAUAAAUCCAAGAUUUAAUUAAGGGACUCUUAACAUACGGAACCCAAACACAUGAAAAAAUGAAGAACAUAACUUAUGAUAGUUCUAAUGGGAGAAGCCAAUUUGAGAUAAUUGUAGAUCCAGUGAGUAAGCAGGAAUAGUCUCCCCAUGUGAUGGGGUUUCAUGUCUCACCGCCAUGUGAAUCAUCGGUCCUGUAUAGACCGAUUCAAACCCCGGUUAGGGUCAUGGUUGUGCUGUAGAGUAAACCACAACUUCAUCUUCCACAUCUCCGGCAUAUAUCAUCUUUUCCCAAGAGACUCACAUUCGAUUCACAAAAUAGAAAACAAGGUAAAAAUAAAGAAAAUGGUUACCCGUUUCUAGUGUCGCCUUGCUCUGUUGUGAACAACCCUUGGUUGUGGUCUUCUUUCACCACCGAGAAUUGGGGCUGCCUUGCUCACUGGUCAAAGACCAAUGCAAGUUGUCGCUAGAGAAUAGAAGAAAUGAUAAGACGACCUAGUGGUUUUGUUGUGCGGCAAGGAAGUCAUCGCCGUGUUCCACCGACGAGCAAUGUCCAUCUUCGCCGAAGAUGAGAGGUGAAGAAUUUAAGGAUUUUCAUUCCCUUUUCAAUUUUCUUUCUUCGUUUUUUUAUAUUUUCCACAGGUAUCCUCGCACUAGAGGCAAUCAUGACCGAGCCGGAAACAUCCACAGGUACGUGGGGCUAACUCUCCCAGCGGACAUUUUUUCCAUCCACAACACUCGAACCCGAGACCUUGCUCAAGGAAAAUCAAGCAUGUACCACUUGAACCAAUGUCCGUUGGUAAUUUUCUCUCUUCAUUUAACAUGGUGAACCCCUUCACUUACAUCAUUUACUUUAAUUUUAAGUUUAUUGUUUUUAUUAUAAUCUUUUCAUUUCAUUUUUUAAUCUUUUUUUAUUUUAUAUAUUAGUUAUGGGUAAUUAACUCAUCCCAACAAGAUUGUGGCCCAUUAAAUCAAUCCUUAUUAAUUGUUGAGUAACAACUCUACACUUAUCUUUAAAUAUAUUUCUUGAACGUUAAACUCACAUUGCUAAAAAUAAAAAAUAUCUAAUCAUCUUUUAAUAAUAAAUUAAAUAUUUUUAAAUAGAGUUUGAUAGUUUGGUCUAUGACUCGUGUCGUUUCUUCCUUUCCGCCCUAAAAGUGGAAAGUCGGUCUACAACCAGUGUUGUUUCUUUGCUAUUAAUCUCAUCUUUAUAAAAAUUAAUUACUUAUGAUUAAUUUUUUAAAACAACUUAAAUACUGCAAAUAAGAUUUGGUAGUCCGGCCUAAAGCUCGUGUCGUCUCUUCCUUUUCACUAUAAAAAGUAGAAAGUCGAUUUACAACCAAUAUUAUCUCUUUACUAUUAAUCCAUAUUUUCAUAAAAUUUUAAGAAAUAUUACUACGACGAAAGCUAUAAAUUUAAUUGAAUCAAAUCCAAUCAAAUCAAACAAAUUAAACAGUUUUAUAACCAGAACUACAUAGUUUGAUUUCCCUAUUGCACUUAGAGAUGUGUAGGAGUAAGAUAAUCUCUUGUCAUAUACAAAUAUAAAAAAUAUAUUUUGCUUUAGUAAUUGUUUCUUUAAUAAAUAAUUUUAAGGGUAUAAAACUCCAUAGGAAUAGUGAGGGUACCUCUUUCACACGGGCAGACAGGGUGCUAAUACCUUUCUCAAUCCGUAAUCAACUCUUGAGCUUAGAAUAUCUAUUCAAAGACCAUUUUUAUCCAAUUCAGGCAUAAAGAGAGUUUUCUACAUUUUAACCCAAAAAACGUAGUAGUGACUCCAAUUCAAUUGGGAGAGGUAGAAAUUGAGUCCGCCUCUUCCUAAGUCGUAGAUCCAGUAUUCUAACCGAAAAUUGGGUUGUGAUAGUUGGCGACUCCACUAGGAAUUUAUCCAUAAGAGAUUCAGACUCAUAACUGCUAAUUACAUGGACUUAAGUACCCAUUUUUUGAUUUAUUGCUUUUAUUUUGAAUUAUAAUUGUUUUGUGCUUAUUUAUUUAAUUUAUCUUAUCUUGAUUAUUUAUUGCAGCUUUUCGGGGGUAAGAGUUUAUUUUUUGAAAAGGUUUGAACGCUUCCCCACAGACGAACACCCUACACUCGAGUUACACACAUAUGCCCUAUACUCGGGUGUUAAAGAUUAGGUUUGAGAUAAAAAUGGACAUUUGCCUUACCGAUGUUGUCCUAGUGCCAAAUCUUGUAUCGGCGUGAUGGACCAUCCAUGUUGUUCCAGUAUUAUGAGUUAGUCGCUUAGGGAGCUCAUCUCCUUUCGUUUGUAACCCAUGAUAUUCAAUUUUCCUUUGUUUCGGGAUUGGAUGCAAUAUGGUGACCUAGAAGUCUAAAGCAUUUAUCGAGUCCACUAUAAAUAAGACUUAGUACCUCGCUAAAGGCUUGUGACCUUCAGACCAUCCAAAAUCUUGUAUGUGUACCUUAUGUAAGACAUGGAAAACUUAACCUAAAUUGUGUUUAUUGCCAUUCAUAAAUUGGGACCUUUGCCCUUGUUUUUUUUUUAAAUUCAUGCUUGGGUGUUAUGAGGAUGUCAUUGCACUUUGAUAUCCUUGUGAAACAAGGAUGGCUAAAAAAAUUCAUUCCCUUCGAUGGGCUAAACGCCAUAGGGGUAAUUUACAUUCCCUUUGAUGGGCUAAACGCCCUAGGGAGAAUUUCAUUCUUGUCGACGGGCUCAUCGUCUAAUGAUAAGUUCUCAAUCAUCCUAAUAAGCUAAGAGUUAUAUCAUUUAACUCCGAGCUAGCCAUAACAGUAAAGUAUAUGUCGAGCUCACCAUAAUAUUUUACUAUAUUGCAAGUGAGGCUAUAUUUCCCCAAAAUAGGGUUUACCACACCCUAGGGGCAUACAAAAUGCAUUGACAUCACUACAUCAAGUUCAUGCAUAACAUAUGUUCAUUCAUUCAUUAAAAAUACAACAUCUAAAUAUUCAUAAAAAAAAUCAUCAUUCAUACAUUCAUAAGAAACAUCAUUCAUAAAAAAAUGAUCAUCAAAAUAUACAUCAUUCAAAUAUUCAUACAAAAUCUCAUCAUUCAUACAUUCAUAAAAAAAUACAUUAUUCAAGCAUUUAUUCAUAUAAUGAAACAAAAGUCAAAAAAAUAUCAUUCGCACAUUCAUCGACUCAUCCAUUUAUGUAAACACUCAGAAAGUGAAAAAAUCAUUAAUCAAACAUUUAUUCAUUCAUUCGUACAUAGAAAAAUAUAUAGCGUCUUGCAAUUCAUCUACUCAUGCAUACAUUCCUAAAAAUAAGAAUAAGUCACUCGAAUAUUACAUGCCUUAUCAUAAUGUAUUACAUUUAAUACAUUACCAUAAGUUAUUAAAAAUAAAACCAAUUCAUGCAUCUUUGUGUGAAUUCAAAUAGAAGGCAAAUACUAACAUGCAUGCAUAUUCAUCCUCAAGUCAUUCAUACAUUCCAACCAUGCAUGUGCCUUAAACAUAAAUCAUUAUCAAAGGCACUCAUGAGUUGAAAAUUGAUUUUUAAAGGUGAUAUUGUCGGGUUUGACUAAAAUGCUCUAGAAGGAAUAACGAGUGUUGCUCUCGAGGCUGCAAAAGAUAAAUCAGCUCCUCAUGUUGAUACAUCAUCCCCAAGAACUAAUUGACAAAUUUCCUAUCAUAUGGAAACCCCAAUUGUCCAUGAUAAUUCCAAUCAUUCCUCUACGUCCUACAAUGUUAUAAAUCCUCAAGAUUUGGAGAAGAUUAAGGCAAACGAAGAAAGAAUUAAAGUUAUUGAGGAAGCACGUUCUCAUAGUUUGAAGGACGUUACAAGCAUGUGUUUGGUCUCGAAUGUGAUAUUGCCACCAAAGUAUAAGAUGCCCGAAUUUGAGAAAUAUCAAGGAACUUCUUAUCAUAGGGAUCACCUCACCAUGUAUGAUAGGAAAAUGACUCCCUAUAUCAAGGAUGACAAUCUGCUAAUCCAUGUCUUCCAAGAGAGCCUUACUAGAGUUGUCAUCACUUGGUACAUGUAUCUCGAGUGUUCUCAUAUCAAAUGUUUCAAGGAUUUGUGUAACGCUUUCCUUAAUCAACAAAACUACAAUAUUUACCAAGAUACUGAUAGGAUGCUACUCAAGAAUAUGUCUAAGAGAAAUAAUAAGACUUUCAAGGAGUAUGUCCAAAGAUGGGCAGGAAUGGCCGCUCAAGUGAAGCCCAAGUUGUCCAACGAAGAGAGUGUUUCAAUGUUUAUCAAUACCCUACAACCUCCCUUAUUUGAUCUAAUGAUUGGAAAUGUCAAUUCGGAUUUCCGUCAUUUGAUAACUAUAGGCGAGAGAAUUGAGAAUCACUCGAGGAACGACAAGAUUGAGAAAGACAUAGCUAGUAGCUAUGAAGCACGGAUUCGUCAAACACCCUCACGUGUCGGUGUCCGACAUGUAUUCGACACGGAUACGCUCGAAUUCACGAAUGAUACCUAUCCAUAGAGUAUCCAAAAAUUAAAAAUAUAAAUAAAAAAAUAAAUAUUAAGACACGUAUCCAAUCCGUUUUCAAUAAAAUAUAGGAUAUAUGGAUUCGUUUUCAGUAAAGUAUAGGAUAUUUAGAUUCGUUUUCAGUAAAGUAUAAGAUAUUUAGAUUCGUUUUCAGUAAAGUAUAGGAUAUUUAGAUUCGUUUCCAAUAAAACAAGAUAAGAUAGAUUUGUUUCCAAUAAAACAUGAUAACAUACAUUCGUUUUCAUUAAAAUAGGAUAAAAUAUUUUGUUAUGAAGGGCAAUGAUUUUAGGAUAUAUUCGUUUUCAUUAAAAUAUAAUAAGAUAGAUUUUUUAUGGAAGGUAGUGAUUUUAAAUUUCCAUUAUAUUUUUUACUUUGGAUAUUGAUUUACACUUAUAAUUUUAUCAUAUUUUAUGUGUUUUUAUUAUUUUAUACGCGUAUCCCUGAACGUAUCGUAUCCUGUAUUUUGGAAAAAAUACGUGUCGACGUACCAGAUACGUAUCGUACCCGACACACGUAUCAAUAUCCGUGCUUCAUAGGCUUGUAGGAUAAUCCAAAGUGAUCUUGCAAGUGAAGAUAUGGAAGAGGAAAUCACAUUCACAGAGACCCUCAGCCAACCUCAAAUACCUUAUUUUUCAUAAGCAUCAUGUUAUAACUUUACAUAUGGUAAAUAAGGGCGGUCCCAAAAGUGAAAAGGGAAAGGUUUGUAUGAUCCAAUCACAAUGUCAUGUUCUGAGUUAUUACCACAACUUCUUCAAAGAUCAUUGUUGACUUCUAUCCCCUUGAAGAAGGUGAAACCCCAUACCACAAGGAUUCAACCCAAAUGCUAGUUGUGGAUAUCAUACUAGGACAAUUGGUCAUUUCAUAGAGGAUUGUAAUCAUUGAAAAGCAACAUGCAAUAUCUAAUUAACUCUAGAUUGAUCCGCUUUCAAGGAAAUGUCUUGGCUUGAGAAAUGUUUAUAUCACUCCAGAUUGUCAUAUUGGUACUAGAAAAAUAAUAUAAUAGAACUUUAUCACUCUCCCCAAGGCUUUAGAGUCAUAAAUAAUGGGGCACUCAUUUCUUUUUCCAUGAAUAAAAAUUUAUUUUCUAAUGUACAUCUUUUUAACGAUUACAUACUAAUACAGUUAUCAUAAUAAUUUCCAUUUCAUACUUCAUACCAUAAAACUCAUUCACAAAAAAAAUCAAUUCAUGCAUUAAUGUGAGAUAUUUACUUCAAAAAUUCAAAUGAAAUAGGAGGAUGAUGCAAAUGUAAGACCCAAAAAUGGUGCGAAUCCUAAGGCAAAUCUUUCUGAUGAAACAAGGCAUCUUUGAAAAUCUCAAAUACUAAGAAGAUAUCCCUAGUCAUCCCAUUUGAGCCCAAGGCUUUAUGAAAAUAGAUUUCGCCUAAAAUACCAGCAAAAUGUCAAUAACCUUGGGCAUGGUAGUUUUUUAGCCGUUUUCCUCGACAUUCAAUUCCUAAGAAAUAAAUACACUCUUCCUACAUUAUUUUCCAUAUCUAACCGAGGGAUUAAAACUCCUAAGCAUGUCAAAUAAAUAUGCUCAUUGGUCAAAGUGCAAAUAGAAAAAAAAAAUAAGAAAACAAAAAGCGUCCACAAAGAAUUUAAGAACAAAAAUGUCAUGCAAAAUUCGGGGCAAAUAAAAAUGCACUGGCAAUGACCUCCAAAAGGAACAAUUCAAAUACCUCUUGGUAAGAUUAUCGUCUAAAUAUUAGGCCUUCACAUAUUCUGGCACAAAAUCCAACAAAAUUUCAGUAAUUGAAUGUCAUGUCAGAAAAUUGUUGAAAUAGGAUAAUGGAGAAAGGAUAACGUAGAAUGGGGUUUGGGAGACACUUAUUUGAGCCUUUAUAUCCUUUAUUGAAACUCUUAGCUAGGCUACAAUACAAGCUCUAAAGACCUUGCCGAAAAUUCGAUUUGCCUAAGGUAUGUAUCAAGGCAAAGAAACGCUAACUCUAAUAAAUUUCAUUAAGUUUUGAUAAAAAUAUUUAAUCUUUUAAUGCAUCAAAUUAAAUUUCAUUAUCUCAUCACCACCACUGCCACAUCAACACUCAAAACAAAAAUCCAAAUUUGCAUGAUCGUUGUUUUUUAGUAUUUCUUUUUAAAGAGUUGUGCAUGUAGAAAACACGUGACAAGUAGAAAUCAAAAGAAAGGUGGCAAUCCAAACUAGGGAAGAUUAUGGGGUGGAUCUCAUUUCUCAAAUGAAAGUACUAAGAAACUUAUAAUAGGAGCAAGGUUGAAGUUGCUCAUCAUGGAUCAGUCCAAAAUCCCUCAACUAAGUAGAGGCAAGUUCUUGUGUUCUCACCUUUAAACUUCAAGGGCGACACAAGAUUUCAUAUACAUAUGACUAUCACACUUAAGGGUGUUCAAAAAUAGUCAAAACAAGCAAAAACAAAUAAAAAGAAAAGAGUGCUAGGUUGAAAACCCACAAGCGCAGCCUAAGAAAAGGAGAGCGAUGCUAAAUCGAAAAGCUUCAACAAUGACUUAGUAUCAUAAUAAAAAGAGAGAAUUCCUGACAAAUACCUACACUACAUAUUCUGGGCAAAAAUUAUGGAAGAGAAAUGAACACCCUCAAGUGAAAAUUCACUAUUGCUCAUCCUCAACUAGGCAAAUGGGGCAAAAAAAAUUGAAGUCGUGGAAAGAUUCUCAUCAAGUCUAUGACAAAGAUAGUAGGGCAAUUUAUUGGAUGAUCUUAAUCUUCCAAUUAAUUCUUAACAUGACACUAAGGCAAAAUAGAUGGCAAGGCGCUGAGAGAUAGUCCCCUUUAACUUUCUUUCGAGUCCAUAAAAAAACAAUUUGUUUGAUUUUUAGAAAAUCACGAGAUCAUAAACUAAGACAUCUACGCAUAUAUUCAUUACUCAUACAUGAUAUCACUAACAUCAUUCUCAACAAAACACACGACAUAUUCUCAAGCAUUCAUAUCACUACUGUACACAUUUUAAAAAGUUUCGCUUUCCAGGACCCUGAGCCUGAUGUGCUUUCAAUUAAUCUUUUGAGGACCCCUAGCCUGAUGUGAAUUUUCGAAUUCCGGCAAUACCCCAAUAUGCGUUCUCGUUUAAAAUCUUUGCUUUCUAGGACCACGAGCCUGAUGUACUUUAAAUCAAUCUUUCCAAGACCUCGAGUCUAGUGUGCUUUCAAUCAAUCUUUCUAGGACCCCGAGCCUGAUAAAAACAACUAUGGGGAUGUUAAAAGGUGGAACUAAACAAUUUCAAAUUAUUAUUAGUUCAGUUACUCACACUAUAAUUACAACAAUUAGGAUUGGCAAAUCUCCUAGACGGUUUCAAAAGAGUAGUAAAAAAACAAAAGUCUUGGUACGUUUCCAUUCAGAAUUGGAAGCUUAAGAGUCUAUCAUCAGAAUUCUCAUCCAACAAAGAAGGGGACAACAUACACAAUAGAAAAAGAGAGGAAUACAUACAGAGAAGAAGGGGAGAAAAAUGAAAAACCAAUUCUUUUCAUCAACCUCACUACACUUGUCAUCCUUUCUUUAUCCUAUCAUCCCUAAAAAAAUUUAGCAUAUCAUAUCUACAUCUACUAUCUAUCACACACGCAUAUAAACAAUUUCACCAGAACUCAUUCAUAUCAUACCCAACAACACAUGCAAUUGUUAUAGAGAGACACACUUGUCACAAAGGAGUAUCACAUGACAUACACAUAGAAUAGAAAGUAACACAUUAUACAUAUACACAAGCUAUCACAAACAUCAGAGAAAGAUUCAAAGAAAAAGAAGCAGGACUGAAACAAAAAAAGCAUUCUGAAUUAUAGGUUCAUCAUUUUCCUUACUCAGUCAUACUGAUUUCAUUUUGUGUAUCCCUAUCCUUAUAAGAUUAUAUUAUGUAACACAAACCCAAGAUUUAAUUAAGGGGCUCCUAACAUAUUGAAUCCAAACACACGCAAAAAUGAAGAACAUAAGUUAUGAUAGUUCUAAUGGGAUAAGCCAAUUUGAGAUAAUUGUAGAUCUAGUCAGUAAGCAAGAAUAAUCUCCCUAUGUGACAGGGUUUCAUGUCUCACCGCCAUGUAAAUUGUUGGCUCUGUAUAGACCUAUUCAAACCCUGGCCAGGGUCAUGGCUGUGUCAUAGAGUAAACCACGACUCUGAUUUUCGCAUCUUCGACAUAUAUCAUCUCUUCCCGAGAGAUUCACAUUCGAUUCACAAAAUGGAAAAAAUGUAAAAAUAAAGAAGAUGAUUACCCGUUUACAAUGUCACCUUGCUCUGGUUGUGAAUAACCCUUGGUCGUGGUCUUCUUUCACCACCAAGAAUCGGGGCCGCCUUGCUCACUGGUCAAGAAUCAUUGUGAGUUGUCGCUAGAGAAGAGAAGAAAGGAGAAGACGACCUAGUAGUUGUGUUGUAUGCCAAGGAAGUCGUUGACGUGUUCCACCGACAACCCAUGUCCAUCUUCAUCGGAGAGGAGAUGAGAAGAAUUUAGGGAUUGUCAUUCCCUUUUCGAUUUUCUUUCUUCAUUUAACAUGGUGAAUCGCUUCAC